rnacentral:rRNA from 1 species
AACGAACGCUGGCGGCAUGCCUAACACAUGCAAGUCGAACGAGACCUUCGGGUCUAGUGGCGCACGGGUGCGUAACGCGUGGGAAUCUGCCCUUGGGUUCGGAAUAACAGUUGGAAACGACUGCUAAUACCGGAUGAUGACGUAAGUCCAAAGAUUUAUCGCCCAAGGAUGAGCCCGCGUAGGAUUAGCUAGUUGGUGAGGUAAAGGCUCACCAAGGCGACGAUCCUUAGCUGGUCUGAGAGGAUGAUCAGCCACACUGGGACUGAGACACGGCCCAGACUCCUACGGGAGGCAGCAGUGGGGAAUAUUGGACAAUGGGCGAAAGCCUGAUCCAGCAAUGCCGCGUGAGUGAUGAAGGCCUUAGGGUUGUAAAGCUCUUUUACCCGGGAUGAUAAUGACAGUACCGGGAGAAUAAGCUCCGGCUAGCUCCGUG